rnacentral:tRNA from 1 species
GCCCGGUUAGCUCAAUCGGUAGAGCGUGAGACUCUUAAUCUCAAGGUUGCGGGUUAGUAUUACAGAGUACCUUGACCGGAAUGCACUACUAGUAGUCAUCAAUCUAACAAACACCUAACAGGUUCGACCCCCGCAUCGGGCU